rnacentral:rRNA from 1 species
UCGGGAAUUUUGGGCAAUGGGCGAAAGCCUGACCCAGCAACGCCGCGUGAAGGAUGAAGUAUUUCGGUAUGUAAACUUCGAAAGAAUAGGAAGAAUAAAUGACGGUACUAUUUAUAAGGUCCGGCUAACUACGUGCCAGCAGCCGCGGUAAUACGUAGGGACCAAGCGUUGUUCGGAUUUACUGGGCGUAAAGGGCGCGUAGGCGGCAAUUCAAGUCAUCUGUGAAAUCUCCGGGCUUAACUCGGAACGGUCAGAUGAUACUGCUUUGCUAGAGUGCAGAAGGGCAAUCGGAAUUCUUGGUGUAGCGGUGAAAUGCGUAGAUAUCAAGAGGAACACCUGAGGUGAAGACGGGUUGCUGGGCUGACACUGACGCUGAGGCGCGAAAGCCAGGGG